GAAACUGGAGAGAAGUCAGCUGGGAAGAUUAACGGACCACCGCCGGAAUCCAUCCUUAGACGAGACUCGUACAAGGAUUGAGAGGCUAGCAAGGCCGACGCUCCGUCAGGACCCAAGAACAUUUCGCGAGGAACAACUCACGCACGGUCUGUGAAGAAGUUUGGCCGAGACCUCAACCCAAAGGUAGAGGUCCGAGAGUCGUCCGAGAA